CGCAAGCCUGAUGCAGCGACGCCGCGUGAGGGAUGACGGCCUUCGGGUUGUAAACCUCUUUCAGUAGGGAAGAAGCGAAAGUGACGGUACCUGCAGAAGAAGCACCGGCUAACUACGUGCCAGCAGCCGCGGUAAUACGUAGGGUGCGAGCGUUAUCCGGAAUUAUUGGGCGUAAAGAGCUCGUAGGCGGUUUGUCGCGUCUGUCGUGAAAGUCCGGGGCUUAACCCCGGAUCUGCGGUGGGUACGGGCAGACUAGAGUGCAGUAGGGGAGACUGGAAUUCCUGGUGUAGCGGUGGAAUGCGCAGAUAUCAGGAGGAACACCGAUGGCGAAGGCAGGUCUCUGGGCUGUAACUGACGCUGAGGAGCGAAAGCAUGGGGAGCGAACAGGAUUAGAUACCCUGGUAGUCCAUGCCGUAAACGUUGGGCACUAGGUGUGGGGACCAUUCCACGGUUUCCGCGCCGCAGCUAACGCAUUAAGUGCCCCGCCUGGGGAGUACGGCCGCAAGGCUAAAACUCAAAUGAAUUGACGGGG
rnacentral:rRNA from 1 species